rnacentral:lncRNA from 1 species
AUGAUCACAAGAUAGCCAUAUAAUUUAAAAAUAUAUUAGUUUUUUCAAAAAAAGAAUUACAAAAUGAAUUGAGUUAUAAUCACUCAAAUACAACUCUUAAAAGUCUCAGACAUGGUCAGAAUCUUAAAAAAGACUUAAAUAACAAUAGUUAAUAUCACUGCUUUAUUUUUCAUAAACAAUAUGUUGUAAAUAAUAGUAUCAUAGUUAUAUAUUUGGUAGUAUUUUAAUGUAGUUUUCCCCUCUUCUUUAAUUCUUUAUCUUGCUGUUUAGUAGUAGCACUAUCGUAUUUUAGUGUGAGAUCACCAAUUGUAACUAGAAAAAAAUACUUCUUUGGGAUAAACUGAAAGAAACUCUAUGGAGUAUAACUUACGAGUGCUUUGGCUAAAAGGAUAUGAUCUCAAGUGGGACAGAUAAGAGUUAUUUAAUGAAAUAUGGGAAUUUUCUGGAAGCUCUCCAUUAAAAUAUAUACUAAAAAUGUUCUCAUUUUGCAUAUUUUCAGUUUAAGUGAUUGUUUCCAGGAAUCACAUAUCAAAUCCACUUGCCUGGUCUCCAAUAUAGCAGAUGGAUAUUCUAAAGUAACUCUCCAAAUAAAAGUCAUCUGGAUUGUGAAACAUAACUGUGAUAGCAUAAAAAGCAUAGACCAAGAAUCAGGAGAAAAAUUAACAACAGUAUUUAUUAACUGAUGAUUAUUAGCAAUAUUGAAUUCAAACUGUAACAAAAUACUUAAUGUUAAAAAAUCUUUCUGUCAGCAGAGACAAACUUAUAAACAACAGUUCCAUAGUCCACAUCCACAUAAACAAAGAUAAUGAUGAUAAAGACAACAAAGUUAACCAAAAUACUCAACAGCUGUCAAAUUGUGGAGAUUUCCUUCUCCUAGUAGAUUUAUAAAGAUCAACAAAUUUACAUAAGUCACAACUUUUUAUCACAAUGUAAAUAAUUUUUUCCCAUAAAUAUAUUACAAUAAAUUACCUUCUUUUGAUUAUACAUUGUCAUUCAAAUAUUUUCUUUUUCUUUAUUAAUUUGAUGAAAUAAUAAAUGAUAUCUUAAUAAUGUCUUCCCAUUGACAUAUAUCAUCCAAUAUAGGAACAACAAGGUAAGAAACAUCUAGUUCCUUGCAUACCUACCACAUAACUAUGAGAAGUGUGUGUGUAUUAAAAAGUUUGCAUAUAUACAUAGGUUUAUUGUAUAUAGAUAGUCCUUGACUUAUGACCACUCAUACUUACAAUGGUGAUGUAAUCAGUAAAUUCUGUGAUUAAUCAAUCCAAUUGAUAUGAGUU